UAACUCACCAAACUAAACGUCC
rnacentral:misc_RNA from 1 species